ensembl:lncRNA
CCUACCACCCAUCUCUUAGAACUGCAGUUGGGCUAAACUCAGGCCAAAUCUGGUUCCUCUUAAACCAUACCAGCCUUACCAGCUCAUUUCCAUAUUGUCUGUGGGUGCUUUUGUGCUCUGAAGACAGAGCCAAAUGGCUGUGAUAGAGACUAUGUAGUUUGCAAAACUAUCUGACUAUCUGGCCUUUUACAGAAAAACAUGCUGACUCUUGUGAGGACUGAACACAGCACAUGCACCUCAAAAUAUCUUCUGUCUGUACGCCCCAUUCUGUGGCCUUCCAUUCAGAGCUGAUUUGCCCGCUCCCUAGACAGCUCACUUCAGGGUGCAACGUAUUCCAGCAUGAC